UACGUAGGGUGCGAGCGUUGUCCGGAAUUACUGGGCGUAAAGAGCUCGUAGGUGGUUUGUCGCGUUGUUCGUGAAAACUCACAGCUCAACUGUGGGCGUGCGGGCGAUACGGGCAGACUAGAGUACUGCAGGGGAGACUGGAAUUCCUGGUGUAGCGGUGGAAUGCGCAGAUAUCAGGAGGAACACCGGUGGCGAAGGCGGGUCUCUGGGCAGUAACUGACGCUGAGGAGCGAAAGCGUGGGGGAGCGAACAGG
rnacentral:rRNA from 1 species